rnacentral:misc_RNA from 1 species
GGUUCGAUUAUGGCUCAGAUUGAACGCUGGCGGGAUGCUUUACACAUGCAAGUCGAACGGCAGCACGGACUUCGGUCUGGUGGCGAGUGGCGAACGGGUGAGUAAUGUAUCGGAACGUGCCUAGUAGCGGGGGAUAACUACGCGAAAGUGUAGCUAAUACCGCAUAUUGCCCUUCGGGGGAAAGCGGGGACCUUCGGGCCUGCACUAUUAGAGCGGCCGAUAUCGGAUUAGCUAGUUGGUGGGGUAACGCUCACCAAGGCGACGACCCAGGCUGGUCGAGAGGACGGACCAGCCACACUGGGACUGAGACACGGCCUGUAUUCCUACGGGAGGCAGCAGGGGGAAUUUUGGACAAAUGGGGAAACCCUGAUCCCAGCCAUCCCGCGUGUGCGGGCGAAGGCCUUCGGGUUGUAAAGCACUUUUGGCAGGAAAAGAACGCACGGGAUAAUACCCCGUGCAACUGACGGUACCCGCAGAAUAAGCACCGGCUAACUACGUGCCAGCAGCCGCGGUAAUACGUAGGGGCGUAAGCGUUAAUCGGAAUUACUGGGCGUAAAGUUGCGCGCAGGA